AUAUGUUUUCACUUUUCGCGUUUCAGGAGUUUUCUCGUAGACCCACUGUGACAGGUUGUCCGGGAGGCUUCCAGAAAUUCGAGCUUGGGACAAGUGUUUCAGUGAGAAAAAAAAAGAACGUUUUAGUUUUUUUUCUUCUUGGGUCAUUGACACAUGUUGACUUGGCCAGUUUUCCCGGCGAUGGGAAUGUGAAGCAUAAAUGUUUGUAAUUUCAUUGAAUUUUCGGGUGUAGGGACUUGGGAGUUUCUCGUCAGUUUAGAGGAGUGGUUUUAAUCGUAUUGUCAAUAAAUGCACGGUGGCUAUUUGCGAGAUUGAUGGAGGUCUGAAUGAAACGAGGAAGUUUUCCUCGAGUGAAGAACAACAGAUUUCUCAAGGCUAACUACAACCACCGUUGUCUAUUUAUACUAGACUGCACCCACACGUUUGCUCUCUCUUGGACUCCAGCGUGUGCUGGUUCAAACAUCGUAUCCGGAUGAGGUGUCUUCUCCAGCGGAACCAGAGGGAUCGUCUGGAAGGGUAUAUACAGAGAGAUUGUCUCUACUCGAAAACCUUAAAACAUCCGGAGCAGAAGUCUCUGUGUUAUGAUGGUGAAACCCCCCGGGUGCUGGACGAAGGGGUGUCCAGGCGGCUGGACGGGCUGGACACACGGCACGACAGAGCACCACGUGCGAACGCAAAUCACCAGCUGCCUCAGUAUCCAGACCCUGAACAUCUAAAAUUAGCGCAGUUUGCUUUCUUCCACUCACUUGAACAAUUUUUUUUUUUCAAUCGGUAGACGAAAAUCACUUUGUUUUAUUUUUCAUUCAAGGAAGCCAUCCGAUCUAUUCUUAAUUUAGGUUAAUUCCUUGACGAGUUGUUAUUAAUUCUGGGGGGAAGUGGUGAAAGACAGGAGAUGUGCGGAAAAUUCCACACGAAUUAUUUUAAGAAUAUCUCGGAACAAAAUAUCAAAGAAUUUUUAGUGAUUUAGAUUAAGUCUACGGAAAAAUUCUCACGACGUUUUAUCAAUAGGAGGUAGCCAAAAUUAAAUACCCACAUUAUA